rnacentral:rRNA from 1 species
CACGUAGGGGGCAAGCGUUGUCCGGAAUCAUUGGGCGUAAAGAGCUCGUAGGCGGCUCAGUAAGUCGGGUGUGAAACCCUCAGGCUCAACCUGGGGACGCCACCCGAUACUGCUGUGGCUAGAGUCCAGUAGGGGAGUGUGGAAUUCCCGGUGUAGCGGUGAAAUGCGCAGAUAUUGGGAGGAACACCAGUGGCGAAGGCGGCUCACUGGACCGGUUCUGACGCUGAGGCGCGAAAGCGUGGGGAGCAAACGGG